rnacentral:rRNA from 1 species
UUAAGCGACUAAGCGUACACGGUGGAUGCCCUGGCAGUCAGAGGCGAUGAAGGACGUGCUAAUCUGCGAUAAGCGUCGGUAAGGUGAUAUGAACCGUUAUAACCGGCGAUUUCCGAAUGGGGAAACCCAGUGUGUUUCGACACACUAUCAUUAACUGAAUCCAUAGGUUAAUGAGGCGAACCGGGGGAACUGAAACAUCUAAGUACCCCGAGGAAAAGAAAUCAACCGAGAUUCCCCCAGUAGCGGCGAGCGAACGGGGAGCAGCCCAGAGCCUGAAUCAGUAUGUGUGUUAGUGGAAGCGUCUGGAAAGGCGCGCGAUACAGGGUGACAGCCCCGUACACAAAAAUGCACAUGCUGUGAGCUCGAUGAGUAGGGCGGGACACGUGGUAUCCUGUCUGAAUAUGGGGGGACCAUCCUCCAAGGCUAAAUACUCCUGACUGACCGAUAGUGAACCAGUACCGUGAGGGAAAGGCGAAAAGAACCCCGGCGAGGGGAGUGAAAAAGAACCUGAAACCGUGUACGUACAAGCAGUGGGAGCACCCUUAAGCGGGUGACUGCGUACCUUUUGUAUAAUGGGUCAGCGACUUAUAUUCUGUAGCAAGGUUAACCAAAUAGGGGAGCCGAAGGGAAACCGAGUCUUAACUGGGCGUUAAGUUGCAGGGUAUAGACCCGAAACCCGGUGAUCUAGCCAUGGGCAGGUUGAAGGUUGGGUAACACUAACUGGAGGACCGAACCGACUAAUGUUGAAAAAUUAGCGGAUGACUUGUGGCUGGGGGUGAAAGGCCAAUCAAACCGGGAGAUAGCUGGUUCUCCCCGAAAGCUAUUUAGGUAGCGCCUCGUGAAUUCAUCUCCGGGGGUAGAGCACUGUUUCGGCAAGGGGGUCAUCCCGACUUACCAACCCGAUGCAAACUGCGAAUACCGGAGAAUGUUAUCACGGGAGACACACGGCGGGUGCUAACGUCCGUCGUGAAGAGGGAAACAACCCAGACCGCCAGCUAAGGUCCCAAAGUCAUGGUUAAGUGGGAAACGAUGUGGGAAGGCCCAGACAGCCAGGAUGUUGGCUUAGAAGCAGCCAUCAUUUAAAGAAAGCGUAAUAGCUCACUGGUCGAGUCGGCCUGCGCGGAAGAUGUAACGGGGCUAAACCAUGCACCGAAGCUGCGGCAGCGACGCUUAUGCGUUGUUGGGUAGGGGAGCGUUCUGUAAGCCUGUGAAGGUGUACUGUGAGGUAUGCUGGAGGUAUCAGAAGUGCGAAUGCUGACAUAAGUAACGAUAAAGCGGGUGAAAAGCCCGCUCGCCGGAAGACCAAGGGUUCCUGUCCAACGUUAAUCGGGGCAGGGUGAGUCGACCCCUAAGGCGAGGCCGAAAGGCGUAGUCGAUGGGAAACAGGUUAAUAUUCCUGUACUUGGUGUUACUGCGAAGGGGGGACGGAGAAGGCUAUGUUGGCCGGGCGACGGUUGUCCCGGUUUAAGCGUGUAGGCUGGUUUUCCAGGCAAAUCCGGAAAACCAAGGCUGAGGCGUGAUGACGAGGCACUACGGUGCUGAAGCAACAAAUGCCCUGCUUCCAGGAAAAGCCUCUAAGCAUCAGGUAACAUCAAAUCGUACCCCAAACCGACACAGGUGGUCAGGUAGAGAAUACCAAGGCGCUUGAGAGAACUCGGGUGAAGGAACUAGGCAAAAUGGUGCCGUAACUUCGGGAGAAGGCACGCUGAUAUGUAGGUGAGGUCCCUCGCGGAUGGAGCUGAAAUCAGUCGAAGAUACCAGCUGGCUGCAACUGUUUAUUAAAAACACAGCACUGUGCAAACACGAAAGUGGACGUAUACGGUGUGACGCCUGCCCGGUGCCGGAAGGUUAAUUGAUGGGGUUAGCCGCAAGGCGAAGCUCUUGAUCGAAGCCCCGGUAAACGGCGGCCGUAACUAUAACGGUCCUAAGGUAGCGAAAUUCCUUGUCGGGUAAGUUCCGACCUGCACGAAUGGCGUAAUGAUGGCCAGGCUGUCUCCACCCGAGACUCAGUGAAAUUGAACUCGCUGUGAAGAUGCAGUGUACCCGCGGCAAGACGGAAAGACCCCGUGAACCUUUACUAUAGCUUGACACUGAACAUUGAGCCUUGAUGUGUAGGAUAGGUGGGAGGCUUUGAAGUGUGGACGCCAGUCUGCAUGGAGCCGACCUUGAAAUACCACCCUUUAAUGUUUGAUGUUCUAACGUGGACCCGUAAUCCGGGUUGCGGACAGUGUCUGGUGGGUAGUUUGACUGGGGCGGUCUCCUCCUAAAGAGUAACGGAGGAGCACGAAGGUUGGCUAAUCCUGGUCGGACAUCAGGAGGUUAGUGCAAUGGCAUAAGCCAGCUUGACUGCGAGCGUGACGGCGCGAGCAGGUGCGAAAGCAGGUCAUAGUGAUCCGGUGGUUCUGAAUGGAAGGGCCAUCGCUCAACGGAUAAAAGGUACUCCGGGGAUAACAGGCUGAUACCGCCCAAGAGUUCAUAUCGACGGCGGUGUUUGGCACCUCGAUGUCGGCUCAUCACAUCCUGGGGCUGAAGUAGGUCCCAAGGGUAUGGCUGUUCGCCAUUUAAAGUGGUACGCGAGCUGGGUUUAGAACGUCGUGAGACAGUUCGGUCCCUAUCUGCCGUGGGCGCUGGAGAACUGAGGGGGGCUGCUCCUAGUACGAGAGGACCGGAGUGGACGCAUCACUGGUGUUCGGGUUGUCAUGCCAAUGGCACUGCCCGGUAGCUAAAUGCGGAAGAGAUAAGUGCUGAAAGCAUCUAAGCACGAAACUUGCCCCGAGAUGAGUUCUCCCUGACCCCUUAAGAGUCCUGAAGGAACGUUGAAGACGACGACGUUGAUAGGCCGGGUGUGUAAGCGCAGCGAUGCGUUGAGCUAACCGGUACUAAUGAACCGUGAGGCUUAACCUU